rnacentral:rRNA from 1 species
UGGGGAAUUUUGGACAAUGGGCGCAAGCCUGAUCCAGCCAUGCCGCGUGCGGGAAGAAGGCCUUCGGGUUGUAAACCGCUUUUGUCAGGGAAGAAAUCUUCUGAGUUAAUACCUCGGGAGGAUGACGGUACCUGAAGAAUAAGCACCGGCUAACUACGUGCCAGCAGCCGCGGUAAUACGUAGGGUGCAAGCGUUAAUCGGAAUUACUGGGCGUAAAGCGUGCGCAGGCGGUUUUGUAAGACAGAGGUGAAAUCCCCGGGCUCAACCUGGGAACUGCCUUUGUGACUGCAAGGCUUGAGUGCGGCAGAGGGGGAUGGAAUUCCGCGUGCAGCAGUGAAAUGCGUAGAUAUGCGGGGGGAACACCGAUGGCGAAGGCAAUCCCCCUGGGCCUGCACUGACGCUCAUGCACG